UACAGAGGUGGCAAGCGUUGUUCGGAAUUACUGGGCGUAAAGGGCGCGUAGGCGGUCUUGUCAGUCCCUUGUGAAAUCCCCCGGCUCAACUGGGGAACUGCACGGGAAACAGCAGGGCUUGAGUUCGGGAGAGGGAAGCGGAAUUCCGGGUGUAGCGGUGAAAUGCGUAGAUAUGCGGAGGAACACCGAUGGCGAAGGCAAUCCCCUGGGCCUGCACUGACGCUCAUGCACGAAAGCGUGGGGAGCAAACAGG
rnacentral:rRNA from 1 species